rnacentral:misc_RNA from 1 species
AACGCAUAUUGCGCCCGAAGCUCCGGCUUAGGGCAUGCCUGCCUCAGCGUCGUUACCAUCCCAUGUUUUUAGUAUGUGGGGGUGUCUUGGUGAUCAAACAUAUGAUUCGGAACGACAAUGGCCUUCCCAAUCCCCCGUUGCCCUGGGUUGGUUGAAACGAAGGGCAUGAGCAAGGAACACAUACGCGCCAACUGGACAGGUUCGCAUCUGAUGCGUGACACGAAGUUGGGGCGUGGGCUUUGCAAGUGCCGUGCAGGAAGCCAUGAAUAUGGCGUCACAUAUAUGUCGACUGAGCUCAGGCAAGAUUACCCGCUGAACUUAA